GACGAACGCUGGCGGCGUGCUUAACACAUGCAAGUCGAACGGAAAGGCCCUGCUUUUGUGGGGUGCUCGAGUGGCGAACGGGUGAGUAACACGUGAGUAACCUGCCCUUGACUUUGGGAUAACUUCAGGAAACUGGGGCUAAUACCGGAUAGGAGCUCCUGCUGCAUGGUGGGGGUUGGAAAGUUUCGGCGGUUGGGGAUGGACGCGCGGAUUAUCAGCUUGUUGGUGGGGUAGUGGCUUACCAAGGGUUUGACGGGUAGCCGGCCUGGGAGGGGGACCGGCCACAAUGGGACUGAGAGACGGCCCAGACUCCAACGGGAGGCAGCAGUGGGGAAUAUUGCACAAUGGGCGGAAGCCUGAUGCAGCAACGCCGCGUGCGGGAUGACGGCCUUCGGGUUGUAAACCGCUUUCGCCUGUGACGAAGCGGGAGUGACGGUAAUGGGUAAAGAAGCACCGGCUAACUACGUG
rnacentral:rRNA from 1 species